CCGUUGUUGGGUUGCUGCCCCUGAAAUGAUAAUUUUAAGGAAAUUUUGCUGUUUUUGGUUAUUAUCUUGAAUAUUAUUAUAGAUAGAGAUAAACUGUAAACAGCAAUAAUGUUCAGCAAAGUAAGAUUUACAAAUAAUUCAACAUAACCAAAAUGGUCAGUUGGCCACUGUAGGAGUUAUUGCCCUUUAUAGUCAAUUUUUAACCAUUUCUCGUAAAUCUUAGUUAUCUUUUAGAAAAAUCUUCUCCUCUGAAACUACGGGGCCAAAUUUAACCAAACUUGGCCAUAAUCAUCAUUGGGGUAUCUAGUUUAAAAAAAUGUGUCCGGUGACCCGCC
rnacentral:lncRNA from 1 species